rnacentral:rRNA from 1 species
AGAGUUUGAUCCUGGCUCAGGACGAACGCUGGCGGCGUGCCUAACACAUGCAAGUCGUGCGGUCUCGCCUUAAGCGAAAGGCCUUCGGGCUUUGAAGCAAAGGCGAGAUAGCGGCGGACGGGUGAGUAACGCGUGGCUUAUCUGUCCCAGGGAGGGGGAUAACGUCUGGAAACGGGCGCUAAUACCCCAUAUGCCGAAAGGUAAAAAGGAGAGAUCCGCCCUGGGGUGAGGCCGCGUCCUAUCAGCUCGUUGGUGAGGUAACGGCCCACCAAGGCUAUGACGGGUAGCCGGCCUGAGAGGGCGGCUGGCCACACUGGGAUUGAGAUACGGCCCAGACUCCUACGGGAGGCAGCAGUGGGGAAUAUUGGGCAAUGGGGGAAACCCUGACCCAGCGACGCCGCGUGGAGGAAGGAGCCCUUCGGGGUGUAAACUCCUGUUGUAAGGGAAGAAGACAGUGACGGUACCUUACGAGGAAGCCCCGGCAAACUACGUGCCAGCAGCCGCGGUAACACGUAGGGGGCGAGCGUUGUCCGGAAUUACUGGGCGUAAAGCGCACGCAGGCGGAUGCGCGCGUCGGCUGUGAAAUGCACCGGCUCAACCGGUGCGCUGCGGUCGAUACGGCGCAUCUGGAGUGCGGGAGAGGGAAGCGGAAUUCCCGGUGUAGCGGUGAAAUGCGUAGAUAUCGGGAGGAACGCCGGUGGCGAAGGCGGCUUCCUGGCCCGCAACUGACGCUCAUGUGCGAAAGCCAGGGGAGCGAACCGGAUUAGAUACCCGGGUAGUCCUGGCCGUAAACGAUGGACGCUAGGUGUGGGCGGUUUAUCCGUCUGUGCCGAAGUUAACGCGUUAAGCGUCCCGCCUGGGGAGUACGAUCGCAAGGUUGAAACUUAAAGGAAUUGACGG